AAAAACAUGUCUUUUUGAUUAUAAUUUAAGGUCUGACCUGCCCAAUGAUUGUUUUAAAUGGCUGCAGUAUUUUGACUGUACAAAGGUAGCAUAAUCAUUAGUUUCUUAAUUAGGAGCUGGUAUGAACGGUUUGAUGAAAAAUUAACUGUCUCUAUUCAAUUGAAUUAGAAUUUUAUUUUUAAGUGAAAAAGCUUAAAUUUUUUAUAAAGACGAGAAGACCCUAUAGAGUUUUAUAUUUUUAUAAUUUUUAAUUUUAUGUUUUUAUUUUUAAUUAUUAUUGAAAAUAUUUUGUUGGGGUGACAGAAAAAUUUAAUUAACUUUUUUUUAAUUUUUACACUAAUUGGUGAAUUUAUGAUCCUUUAUUAGAUUAUAAGAUUAAAUUACCUUAGGGAUAACAGCGUAAUUUUUUUUGAAAGUUCUUAUUGAUAAAAAAGUUUGCGACCUCGAUGUUGGAUUAAAAUUUGUUUUUGGUGUAGAAGCUUUAAAACUAGGUCUGUUCGACCUUUA
rnacentral:rRNA from 1 species